rnacentral:rRNA from 1 species
UACAGAGGUGGCAAGCGUUGUUCGGAAUUACUGGGCGUAAAGGGCGCGUAGGCGGUCUUGUAAGUCUCGUGUGAAAUCCCUCGGCUUAACUGAGGAACUGCACGGGAUACUGCUUGACUUGAGUUCGGGAGAGGGAAGCGGAAUUCCGGGUGUAGCGGUGAAAUGCGUAGAUAUCGAGAGGAACACCGGUGGCGAAGGCGGCGAUCUGGACGAUGACUGACGCUGAGACGCGAAAGCGUGGGGAGCAAACAGG